UAAGGAAUAGAAGAACAGCAAUGGAGCUCGUCUCUAUGGAAAGUCCUCGGAAAUUAUCGCUGAAAAAGCACCUUAAUCGACAUUUUUUUCGUUAAAAUAGUUUUAUGCUGUUGAGUAUUGGUCUACUUAACCAAAUGAGGCUUACUCUUUAUUCAUU
rfam:Nosema apis BRL 01 unplaced genomic scaffold scf7180000047009, whole genome shotgun sequence.